UAGAGGCCUGAGUAAUGGAAUUUCAAUU
rnacentral:piRNA from 1 species